rnacentral:rRNA from 1 species
AAUGAACGUUGGCGGCAUGGAUUAGGCAUGCAAGUCGAGCGAGAAGUGUAGCAAUACACGGAAAGCGGCGGAAGGGAGAGUAAUACGUGGGAAUCUGCCCUUAGACCUGGGAUAGCAGCGGGAAACUGCUGGUAAUACCAGAUAAUGUCUAUGGACCAAAGGUGUGAUUCCGUCUAGGGAUGAGCCCACGUCCUAUUAGCUAGUUGGUAGGGUAAUGGCCUACCAAGGUGAUGAUGGGUAGCGGGGGUGAGAGCAUGACCCGCCUCACUGGGACUGAGACACUGCCCAGACACCUACGGGUGGCUGCAGUCGAGAAUCUUCGGCAAUGGGCGCAAGCCUGACCGAGCGAUGCCGCGUGCGGGAUGAAGGCCUUCGGGUUGUAAACCGCUGUCGAGGGGGAGCAACUUCCAUAGAGUUAUCUUUAUGGAUUGAGUGAUCCCUGGAGGAAGGACGGGCUAAGUUCGUGCCAGCAGCCGUGGUAAAAC